ACACUCCUACGGGAGGCAGCAGUGGGGAAUUUUGGACAAUGGGCGAAAGCCUGAUCCAGCAAUGCCGCGUGUGUGAAGAAGGCCUUCGGGUUGUAAAGCACUUUUGUCCGGAAAGAAAUCCUUGGCUCUAAUACAGUCGGGGGAUGACGGUACCGGAAGAAUAAGCACCGGCUAACUACGUGCCAGCAGCCGCGGUAAUACGUAGGGUGCGAGCGUUAAUCGGAAUUACUGGGCGUAAAGCGUGCGCAGGCGGUUUGCUAAGACCGAUGUGAAAUCCCCGGGCUCAACCUGGGAACUGCAUUGGUGACUGGCAGGCUAGAGUAUGGCAGAGGGGGGUAGAAUUCCACGUGUAGCAGUGAAAUGCGUAGAGAUGUGGAGGAAUACCGAUGGCGAAGGCAGCCCCCUGGGCCAAUACUGACGCUCAUGCACGAAAGCGUGGGGAGCAAACAGGAUUAGAAACCCGUGUAGUCC
rnacentral:rRNA from 1 species